AGUCUGUUUUAAUUCUCCUUGGUCUAGUGGGAGGCUUGUUUGUUUCACGGUCCACACCACUGGAAAUGUCAGAAGACAGAAAAAAAAAACAAACCAGAAAGAAGAGCGGGAGGCAGCAGAUUUCGUAGGCACAAUUGCAGUGCACCUGUGAAGCAGUUUUUAUUUCAACAAACCCAAAAGUAAUUAAAAAUUGGAAAGCUAUAAAAUUGGAGUUUGAAGAAGUGGGCUAUGCUUGGAGUGCUGUUGUUAGGAAGUGAACAUCCCAUGAAAGGGACAAUUAGGAAGGAAUUGAUUUCGUAUUCCUCAAGGCCAUGAGAACCCAUGGAAAUUACUGUAAUAAGAGUGGCAGAGACUAUUCCUGAUCCUAAAAGUAGCAGUUGCAAAAUAAAAACUGAUGAUUCUCUGAAAGAGAUGUUUGACCAACCGUAUUAGUCUUGGGCAAGCUGAAAUAGCUGGUGGCCGCUCCAUUCUUCCUGUAUGCUGGAAAUCCUCCCCAAAGACUGAGGAUUAAACCCUCGUGGACAUAAGCCCUGGGCCCGGCUGAUGGGAAGCCCAGUCCCAGCUGGGAGCAUGCUCAGGAUUCGCUGAUGCUGAGGAAGCAGAAAAGUGGACCAUAUGUGCAACACAGGAUCCUCUACUGGGGAAAGAUGAGAACUUCCUUGAAGAGGAAAGUAAGUUAGUUAUUGGCGGUCAAGUGAUAUUGGAAAAGACAAGCCACAACUUUGUGAGCUGGGUCUUCUUUCACUCUGGCCCAGGACCUGGGCUGGAUGAAUUCCCUACAUAUGACACUUCUGGCAGCCCACCGGCCUCAACAGUAAACAGAGUAGUGGCAGGCCAUGACCGGCAUUAUCCACGGAGGGCACUCUCCUGCAUCCAAUUCAUUUUUUGCUGCAGUUUAAGUCCUGGGAGCUGAU